GGGUGUGUAGCUCAGGGGUAGAGCGUCGCUCUUACAAAGCGAAUGUCGGCGGUUCGAAACCGUCCACGCCCACCA
rnacentral:tRNA from 1 species